GGGGAUGUAAAGGUUUCGACGGGGAUUUCAAACCUUGGUAAGCGAGCGGCGGUGCGGAACCGCCAUAAAAUCCGCAACUUUAAAAUUAACUGACAACAAAACAGUUGCUUUAGCAGCCUGAGUGCUGCUCGUUCCUGCACAGAGCACCUCGGCUGUGUAAGGGGCGUCGAUUAGAGGUAAAUGUGAACAGGGGAGCGCUCCGAACCCUGUCACAGCUUAGGAGCUGCCAAAGUGCAUAGCCUGUUGAUGGGCGAUGCACCGAGGGAGAUUUAAAACACCAACUGCGCUCGGAGAAACCCUUGGCAAGAUUUUUUCGGACAGGGGUUCGAUUCCCCUCAUCUCCACCA
rnacentral:tmRNA from 1 species